rnacentral:lncRNA from 1 species
ACACACACACACACACACACACACACACACACACACACACACACACACACACACACACACACACACACACACACACACACACACACACACACUUUUGUUCACACACCUGUUCGUGCUGUUGUGUUUUGUUCAGGUCUCAGCCAGACGCCUCUGAUCUGCCCACCAAGCCCAAACCUCCUGGUCCUCCUCCUUUUUCCAUCAACAGGAGCAACUCUUCAGCCUGGGCCCCCCCCAGCAGGGCUGAUGGACCACCUGAGCUUCCUCAAGGUAAAGUUCAUAAGAACCACACCUUCCCUUUGCACAAAAACCUGCCGCCCCGCCCGGAAAUUCCCGGAGUUUAUCCAUACCAAGCUGACAGGUCUGUAAACCUCCGGUUUUUAAAUAAAUCCUAUCUGUAGCUCCUCAGUUCUGGAGAACCACAGGCUUGUGUUCUUGGCUUGUUUUAGUUUAAAAUAAGUGAUGAUAUUUAUUCAUGCAUUUGUUUAUUUCCUUUAUAAUGAGGCCGUUUCUGAUUCACAUUGUAUAAUUUGCAACGUUUGUGAAAAAAGUUGUUUUAGACCAACACAUCAAACUACUGAAGAAAAUUAACUGUUUAAACUACAGCGUUCUUCAUUGUGAGCCCUGCGGGACACCACUCACCAACAAAACCAAAUGGAUUCAAUGUUGUAGAGGGUAAAUGUUGUUGCUUUUAAGCUUAAUAUAGUACCUUUACUUAUGACCAAUAAGCUGUGAUACUCUAUAUAAAUAUAGAAUAUCAACCUGCUUGGUCUGUGGAUGUUUAAUCAGAAGAUUCUAGGAUUCUUUGCUUUUUCAGGGAUCAAACAGACUCCGUCUCAAUUCAGACAGAGUCAGGUUUAUAAAAGAUAAGAAAUUAGUUUUUUAAACAAAUAAAAACAUGACAGGUUAACUAAGACGGCUGUGCUGGAUGAAUCUAAGUGGAUGUGAUGUGAUGUGUGGUGAUUUAAUGGUGUGUGUUCAUCAGAACCUUGUAUCUAGAAGAACUGAGUUCUGGGUGAAAAGAAUUUGAUUUGCAUUAAGCUAUGAAUUUGGUUCUUAUCAAACCGGCAUCAGACGCAAUCUGUGUGUCUACCUCACCCUUUCUUUGGAGACCCUCUUUGCGGAUCAGGAGGUCAGGGAGGUCGGAUGACCGCUGAGCACCGAGGUUUGGUAGAUUAACCGCAGCACCGACUCUCCAGUCCAGAGAUGUUUCCGAGUCACAACAGAUAGAUUAAAUCGUUUGCGUCUAGAAGGACUCUUAGGGAGUCGGAACUGUAUCAGCUUUGUUCUGCAGGAACCGGUUUUUGACAGCUUGUCAAAAAUGCUCUGGGUUAAAGAGGGUUCGCUCCGGAUGGCCUGUCCGUAGCUUUCUCCAGAACUGACUCACCGUCAAGUGAGCUCUGUUUUAAUAUUCUCAUUAUGAUUUCUUGGCCAACCAGGACGUGCCAUUUGUAAGGGGUGUUAACAAGCAAACCUCAGAACAUCACGCCUUCUUUCAGAUGCAGGAUGCUCCGAUUUGUGGCUAAGAAAAUGUCUGCGUCAUGACGUUUAACUUAACUUUAAUUUAUCUCUAAUGAACCUUGUGUCUGAGUGUGGAUGAUGAUUACCUUGUCAUAUCAAACUGACCAUCAUAUAUAUGAAUCUUUCAAUGUAAUAAUAACAUUCAUUUCAAACUUCAGUAAUUCAAGCACAGAUUAAUCAAAACAUUAUAAUUAUUCAUCAACCAUUAUUGUUCAUUCCAUUUCACAAUUGAUUAACUCAUCUGAGCUGAAAAUAGCCACUUUAUUCAGAGAGUGAGCAAUCCUGCUGUGAUGUCAAAAGAAGGCUUUGUUUGGGAACACAGCCUGACAUCUUGUUCCUCCUGAAAUGCCAACAAGGCUGCAGUAUCCUUCUGGGUUUGUAGGAAGCUAGG